rnacentral:miRNA from 1 species
AAUAUCUGAAACGUUGGUGUGG